UCACCGGAAUGGCUCCGGAAAAUUGCGCAGCUAACAAAGACAUCCCUGACGCCGCCGCCGGCGACUUCCAAACAAGGCGAAGGAUAUGCGCCAAAUGCGACAGGCCAGCAAACGUUUGCUUAUGCGCUACAAUCCCAGCCGACCCGAUUGCGAACCUGACCCGAGUCGUUGUCCUCCAGCACCCUCACGAGCGCCGCCACAAGCUCGCCACUGUUCCUGUUCUGUCCAAGUGCCUGGGAAAUUGCGAGGUCAUUGCCGGACGGAGACUUCGUUAUGGUGAUUCCAAGGUCCUCGAUAAUCUUCAUGAUGAGGCAAUUGCAAACCCUAAUGUGCCCCGCAGAGCUGUUUUUCUCUUUCCUGGCACAGAAACAUCGGAAUCAAUGGAGAUCAACCAGUGGAAAUGUUCAACUAAAAAUUUUGAUAGAAGCAAUUAUGUCUUGAUUGCUCUUGAUGGAACUUGGAAGCAUGCUAAGGAGAUGAUGUGUGCUAGCCUAGAAUUUUUGUCCAAAUUUGCAGUCCAAGUUUAUUUAAGUUAUGAUACUAGCAUUGAUGGUGGAACAAUUUUCGAUUCUGAUCUAAUUCUCAGAAAGGAACCAUUUAGUGGGUGUAUGAGUACAAUGGAGGCAGUUGCUCACUGCUUACAGGUUCUUGACCCUAAUGGAGUUGAGAUUGAAGCAAGACUGGUUGAGGCUCUAAGGACUAUGGUUAGAUUUCAGACUAGCUAUUUGAGGCCUAUGAAACAACGGCCAAAGUUGGUUAAAAAAACCAAAGAGAAUGUAAAAAGAAAUGAGUGAGAAUUUACAAAAUGUCCAUACUUAUAGUGUAAGAUUUGUUGCUGGUGGUUUGAUUCAUUUACUAUUAUAUUUAAGAGGCCAGGUUUUGCAAAUUCAGAGCUUUGAGCUUAAUCACUUACUGGAGUAAAGAAGGCCAUUUACAAGUACCCAUCCUUUUUAGAUUUUCAGAGUUUUCAAGCAUAUCAGCCAUUCAAUCUGGACUAAUUUCAACAAGUCAGAACUUUUGUUUGUUCACAAGUCACAUUUAUUGAAAUGAACCAAGUUGGUUUCAUUGCCUUCAUGUGAAUGAAGAUACCAGAGUUUGAUUGGUGUUGGUUGGACUUUUAAUCCUGUCAAGUUAAAUGCACAUAUUUGCCAAACUUGCCGGCAUUGCCGCCCAGUUUGCUUUGCUUUGCUUUUAGGGAAUUCACAGACAUAACCUUGAAUUCAGAUACCGUUGGAAAAUAUCCACAUUCAGAGGAUGUAUCAGAGAGGUUGCUAAAUCACAUUACAGGGCCACCAGACCAGGUUUAGCAGGACUUUGCCAAAGUUGUGAGAUAUCUCUACUCUGUGUUUGAAGCAUGGCUUAAGCUUUUGAUAAAAAGGUGAAGUGGAAGUGAAGAAGAGUAAGAAGAUUGGAUCUGUAACCUGUUCAGUUUAUGAGGGGAAAACAUUAUGGUUGAUUUUCUGUGGUAGGGCAUAGCUUUAAAAGUGAUAAAUCAGUGGAGGUGGUAAACCUAAGUCUUAACCAUUUGGUUCAGGUCUGUUGUUUAAUGGUUCCUCAUGAAUAUAAUUGUGGUUGAUGCAUUCACUUGAAAGGUGGUGUUGGUUUCUUUUAUU